UCGAGUCAGUCCUGUGCUGGCAAACAAGCGAAUACAGGAGAACAAACUGCUUCGAACCAUCUCGUGAAGAAAGUUCCAAACGUGCGCUACAGCGGAUGAAUCACUCGCGGUUUUGUCUACUCCGGAGUUGAACGAGAUUUUGCGAUGAAAAAUUACCCUCUCAGGGGAGACUGCGGUGCGGAAUACCUCAUAACUAAGUGCAGCAAUAAAAGGCUUUACCGAGACACCGUGAUUGACUUCCACCAAAAAGAAGACUUGAGCCUGGGAACUUCGCAAAUUCUGGUUUAAUUAAUGGAAAUUCGUACAGCUAAUUUAAACUGCGCCAAGUUGGUUAAGUAAAAGUUCAAGUCUCUGCGGAGGAGAACAUCCUGGAUGAAAUUUAUAAACAAAUUAUUUGAGUACGAAGAUGCCUCUAAUGAUUGAGCAGUCCCAAAUGGAUAUCGAAUUUCACAAUCAAGGUCACUCAUCUGAUACCCCGUCAAGCAAUGUAUCAAAUGAUAAUCGGGCCGGCUUUAUUUGAAGAAAGGCCACGGCUUGACAAGUUUUUGAAAUUCUUAAGCUGACUUUACGUCCCUUCGAAUACUUGAUCGUAAGGAAUUCGUUGGUUGCCGUCACUUGUCAUUGUAAUUAUGACGCGGAUUGAUUUCGAUGAACGAUUUUCUCUUCGUUGCUGACGAAGAAAUAUAAGGAAACUUCGAACAGACGAUUCGAGAGCGCGAGAAAUAGGAAAUCGGAGGAUGGAAGGAGUUUCACGAAAGUAAUGAGAGUGCAGCUCUUAGCACGUCCAUUUCACGUGAAAAUGGAUUUUCCAAGUUCAAUUGUUCCCUCGCUACUCGAGCUUGCUCAACGUAAAAAACUUGCCACUCUGUAGAACAAAAUUAGCACCGGGAUAAACGAAUUAUACACGGACUUCGGAUCUGUCUCUUUAUUGGGCUCGAGUUGUUCCAGCGACAGUCUAUAAAGUGUAGUGAAAAAAUGGUCUCUGAUGAUGCGAGGGAAAAAAAUUAUUGGUUCAUUAGACAAAAGCGAAAUGGAUAAAUACUAGGUUUUUUCGGUAAGCGGGGGUUCAA